UCUUACGGCCAUGCCAUCCUGAACAAGCCCGAUCCUGUCUGAUCUCAGAAGCUAAGCAGGGUCGGGCCUGGUUAGUACUUGGAUGGGAGACCACCUAGGAAGACCAGGUGCUGUAGGCA
rnacentral:rRNA from 1 species